rnacentral:rRNA from 1 species
UAGGGUGGUUAUUGCAUUAGGGCUCACCUCUUCCCAUUUCGAACAGAGAAGUUAAGCCUAAUAGCGCAGAU